rnacentral:pre_miRNA from 1 species
AAGGCUUGCUACGCAGGAGAGAUGAUGCUGGACGAUAGAGAAAAUGGGAUUUAAUUUAUUGGCCAGCAUCAUACUCCUGCAUAUUAAGCCU